UGUAAGCGUAUACCAAAGUUGUUGCAGUUAAAACGCUCGUAGUCGGAAUUUGGCAGUUCCGGAUGUGUGCACGUCGUGUGCGCACUUCGCGGGGAUUGCUUUUGUGGUCUUGCGUAGGAUGAGGCACUUUUAUUAGUGAACGUCCUCACGCAACCACUUUUUACUGUGAGAAAAUCAGAGUGCUCAAAGCAGGCAUUUGCCGUGAAUGUAUUAGCAUGGAAUAAUAGAAUAGGACUUGGGUCUAUUUUGUUGGUUUGUUGGGACUGAGUAAUGAUUAAGAGGGACAGUUGGGGGCAUUUGUAUUUCGGUGCUAGAGGUGAAAUUCUUAGAUUACCGAAAGACAAACUGCUGCGAAAGCGUCUGCCAAGGAUGUUUUCAUUGA
rnacentral:rRNA from 1 species